CCUCGGGUCCGAGUUGUAAUUUGUAGAGGAUGCUUUUGGUGCGGUGCCUUCCGAGUUCCCUGGAACGGGACGCCAUAGAGGGUGAGAGCCCCGUCUGGUUGGACACCAAGCCUCUGUAAAGCUCCUUCGACGAGUCGAGUAGUUUGGGAAUGCUGCUCUAAAUGGGAGGUAUAUGUCUUCUAAAGCUAAAUACCGGCCAGAGACCGAUAGCGCACAAGUAGAGUGAUCGAAAGAUGAAAAGCACUUUGAAAAGAGGGUUAAAUAGUACGUGAAAUUGUUGAAAGGGAAGCGCUUAUGACCAGACUUGAGCCCGGUUAAUCAUCCAGCCUUCUGGCUGGUGCACUUGGCCGGCUCAGGCCAGCAUCAGUUCGGCGCGGGGGAUAAAGGUUUCGGGAAUGUGGCUCCUCCGGGAGUGUUAUAGCCCGUUGCGUAAUACCCUGCGCUGGACUGAGGUUCGCGCAUCUGCAAGGAUGCUGGCGUAAUGGUCAUCAGCGACCCGUCUUGAAACACGGACCAAGGAGUCGUCUUCGUAUGCGAGUGUUCGGGUGUCAAACCCCUACGCGUAAUGAAAGUGAACGCAGGUGAGAGCUUCGGCGCAUCAUCGACCGAUCCUGAUGUUCUCGGAUGGAUUUGAGUAAGAGCAUACGGGGCCGGACCCGAAAGAAGGUGAACUAUGCCUGUAUAGGGUGAAGCCAGAGGAAACUCUGGUGGAGGCUCGCAGCGGUUCUGACGUGCAAAUCGAUCGUCAAAUAU
rnacentral:rRNA from 1 species